rnacentral:rRNA from 1 species
AUUAGCUAGUUGGUAGGGUAAUGGCCUACCAAGGCUACGAUGGUUAGCUGGUCUGAGAGGAUGAUCAGCCACACUGGAACUGAAACACGGUCCAGACUCCUACGGGAGGCAGCAGUGAGGAGUUUUGCGCAAUGGGGGAAACCCUGACGCAGCAACGCCGCGUGAGCGAAGAAGGCCCUCGGGUCGUAAAGCUCUGUCAAGUGGGAAAAACGUCUACCGGUCAAUAGCCGGGAGAUCUGAUGGUACCGCUGAAGGAAACACCGGCUAACUCCGUGCCAGCAGCCGCGGUAAUACGGAGGGUGCAAGCGUUGUUCGGAAUUAUUGGGCGUAAAGAGCGUGUAGGCGGUUUAGUAAGUCAGAUGUGAAAGCCCUGGGCUCAACCCGGGAAGUGCAUUUGAAACUGCUUUACUUGAGUAUGGGAGAGGAGAGUGGAAUUCCUGGUGUAGAGGUGAAAUUCGUAGAUAUCAGGAGGAACAUCUGUGGCGAAGGCGACUCUCUGGACCAAUACUGACGCUGAGACGCGAAAGCGUGGGUAGCAAACAGGAUUAGAUACCCUGGUAGUCCACGCCGU